rnacentral:misc_RNA from 1 species
UACCUUGACAAGGUACGAACUAUUGUGAAACCAGGGUGUUCACAGGAAGUUCUGAAAGCUGCCUUGAGUGUGAUGGCUUCUGUGACAGAUGUGCUUUCCACAAUGUCUUCAACUUCCUUGAACAGUCAGACACCCCUUUAAGAGCGCAAAUUAUGUGUUCUUAAACUAACUUGGUGCCAUUGCAUAGUAUGAGAAUUAUCUCCUGCACAUUGUCUGCUUUUUCAUGAUUUGUAUCUUGAAACUGUAGAUGCAGACUAGUUAGAUGAUGGCAAUAAGCUGAAUUUUUCCAUUUUUC